rnacentral:rRNA from 1 species
GACGGAGGCCCCUAGCGUUGUUCGGAAUUACUGGGCUUAAAGCGCGUGUAGGCGGGUCGGUAAGUGCUUUGUGAAAUCCCCGGGCUCAACCCGGGAAUAGCUUGGCAUACUGCCGGUCUUGAGGCAGGUAUGGGUCACUGGAACCUUAGGUGUAGCGGUGAAAUGCGUAGAUAUCUAAGGGAACGCCGGUGGCGAAAGCGGGUGACUGGGCCUGUCCUGACGCUGAGACGCGAAAGCGUAGGGAGCAAACGGGAUUAGAUACCCCGGUAGUCUACGCCGUAAACGAUGCGCACUAGAUUCGAGAGCCCCUGACGGCCCUCGGGUCGAAACAAAAGCGUUAAGUGCGCCGCCUGGGGAGUACGGCCGCAAGGCUAAA